UUCUUUGCGCAGUGGCAGUAUCGUAGCCAAUGAGGUGAAUCCGAGGCGCGAUUAUUGCUAGUUAAUUUUUAAUAGGG
rnacentral:snRNA from 13 species